CUCUCUCAUGAACCCCAGCCAUACACCCCCACAUAUCACCGCAUCACAGUUCCUCCACACGCGACCGUGCGUGCACUGCAGCCCUUGCCGAUCGCUGCCCCCUGCCUUGUCGCCGUCGUCGCACACCCCGGUUGCCGCUUCUACCCUCCCCGGUUGUCGCCGUCGCCGUCCUCGAUUGCCGACGCUGCCCUCCUGGUUGCCACCACCGCCAUCCCCGGUGGCCGUGGCUGCCGCCGUUGGUCGCUGGGAGAUGACCGGGGGAUAGCUCCGGACACUCCGUUCCCGCCCCACCGUGAGCCUCCUUGCCAGUCCCCGCCUCCCUGCCGGUCGCUGUGUGCCGUCCCAGCGGAUCGAGGCUGGCCGUCCCUUCCCCCAAGGUGAGAUCCGGUGGGAGGAGAAGAUGGUGGUUGUUUCAGUCUAUUAUAUGCAUCGACACGAGAGGUGGCGGAUCGGUCCACACGAGAUUCCUGGUCCCGAUUUCGUCACCAUGUUGCGACCACCUCCAUCGAGCAAUGGUUGAUGCCAAGGGGUAUAAAGGUGUACUAAUGCAUGCCCAUGCUUUAAGAAUGAGCUACAGGUCUAAUCCAAGAAACAUAAAGCUAUUGAGUUGCAUAUAACAGAUCUCAAGAGAGGUAAUGGGUGUUUUAGAAGAUUGCACACGGAAACCUUAUUCAAGUUCACCAACCAGGAGACCUGAUUACGGGGCCAACACGGUCAUGCAAAAAAAUGGCAGCAGAAGGUCAUCUACUAAACUAGCGCACUGGAGCAAGGGAGAGGUGUCUUGAAGAAUGAGCGAGGAAGUGAGUGUUGUGUUAAUUACUAAUGGUGAAGCACUCGCAUUGAAAGUUGCAUGCCAUUUGUGAAAGCAUCAGGGGCAACGAAUGAGUGUCAACUAAAUAUGUUGCACCUGGAUGCUCAUUGGACUACGACAUGGACAUGAAGACACUUGUUGUAGUGGCAAAUCUUAUCUAGCGAUGCUCGCUUUGUUCAUUAUGUAUCAUCUUUGGUGUUGUGGAUUUGGACUGUUGAUAUAUAUAUAUAUGGUCAGGAAAUAAUAUAUAUUA